GUGCUAUACUGCAAGUCGAACGCUUCUUUUUCCACCGGAGCUUGCUCCACCGGAAAAAGAAGAGUGGCGAACGGGUGAGUAACACGUGGGUAACCUGCCCAUCAGAAGGGGAUAACACUUGGAAACAGGUGCUAAUACCGUAUAACAAUCAAAACCGCAUGGUUUUGAUUUGAAAGGCGCUUUCGGGUGUCGCUGAUGGAUGGACCCGCGGUGCAUUAGCUAGUUGGUGAGGUAACGGCUCACCAAGGCCACGAUGCAUAGCCGACCUGAGAGGGUGAUCGGCCACAUUGGGACUGAGACACGGCCCAAACUCCUACGGGAGGCAGCAGUAGGGAAUCUUCGGCAAUGGACGAAAGUCUGACCGAGCAACGCCGCGUGAGUGAAGAAGGUUUUCGGAUCGUAAAACUCUGUUGUUAGAGAAGAACAAGGAUGAGAGUAACUGUUCAUCCCUUGACGGUAUCUAACCAGAAAGCCACGGCUAACUACGUGCCAGCAGCCGCGGUAAUACGUAGGUGGCAAGCGUUGUCCGGAUUUAUUGGGCGUAAAGCGAGCGCAGGCGGUUUCUUAAGUCUGAUGUGAAAGCCCCCGGCUCAACCGGGGAGGGUCAUUGGAAACUGGGAGACUUGAGUGCAGAAGAGGAGAGUGGAAUUCCAUGUGUAGCGGUGAAAUGCGUAGAUAUAUGGAGGAACACCAGUGGCGAAGGCGGCUCUCUGGUCUGUAACUGACGCUGAGGCUCGAAAGCGUGGGGAGCAAACAGGAUUAGAUACCCUGGUAGUCCACGCCGUAAACGAUGAGUGCUAAGUGUUGGAGGGUUUCCGCCCUUCAGUGCUGCAGCUAACGCAUUAAGCACUCCGCCUGGGGAGUACGACCGCAAGGUUGAAACUCAAAGGAAUUGACGGGGGCCCGCACAAGCGGUGGAGCAUGUGGUUUAAUUCGAAGCAACGCGAAGAACCUUACCAGGUCUUGACAUCCUUUGACCACUCUAGAGAUAGAGCUUCCCCUUCGGGGGCAAAGUGACAGGUGGUGCAUGGAUUGUCGUCAGCUCGUGUCGUGAGAUGUUGGGGAUAGGUUCCCGGCCAACCGAGCGCAAUCCAUUAUUGGUUAGUGGCAACUCAAUUCAGUUGGG
rnacentral:rRNA from 1 species